AAGAACAAGACAAGUGAAGAUGCUGCAGCAGAUUAUGUCCAAGGAGUUCAUACAUUAUCUCAAUAUGCUGACUACUUGGUAAUUAAUAUCUCAUCCCCAAAUACUCCAGGACUACGCCAACUUCAGGGAAGAAAGCAACUGAAGGAUCUUGUGAAGAAGGUCCAGGCAGCUCGUGAUGAAAUGCAGUGGGGUGAGGAGGGACCUCCGCCUUUACUUGUAAAAAUCGCUCCAGAUUUGUCCAAACAAGAUCUUGAAGAUAUUGCAGCGGUGGCUCUUGCUCUUCGUGUGGACGGACUGAUUAUAUCAAAUACUACAACCCAAAGACCGGAUUCAGUUAGUCAAAACCCUGUGGCACAAGAGACUGGUGGCUUGAGUGGGAAGCCACUCUUUAAUAUGUCAACAAAUAUACUUAAGGAGAUGUAUCUUCUGACUAAGGGAAGGAUUCCUCUCAUUGGUUGUGGAGGUAUUAGCAGUGGCGAG
rnacentral:misc_RNA from 1 species